UAAUAAUCCGGUCCUUAAUUUAGUACUCUAUUGUGAAGGUAUUAAAUCUUGUCCUAAAUAAUUUAGUAACUGGUCCUUAAUUAUAAUUGAGAGUUUUUGAGUGGGAGAAAGUACGCCAAUGUAAUACUGAAAUAUUUUAAAAAAAUAGAAUUCUAUGUAAAACUUCUAAAGCAUCAAAAGAAACCAUAUAUUCUGAAUUAAAAAUUCUGAAGUUAAAAACUCUCAAUUUUCUCCAUCAGUCCCGAUUUUCCCUAAUUCAGUUCUCUUAAUUGAACUACUCUUCAAGUUCUCUCGAUAGAACAUCUCUUUGUCAAAGUCUAUCGUUGCAGGAGUAUCCGUCAGUCUUCUUUCUCUUUGAGGAUCAGUUGAAGAAGGAGAAAACACCCUCACAUUCCCUUCCUGGGAAGUAUUUCCAAGGUCAUCAACAUUUAUAAGAGAGUAUUGUGAAUUAUUGAACUGGAGUUCUGCUUUGAGUAGGUGACUGUAUUCAAGUUCAUAUUCUAGUCCUCCAUCUACUAACCAAGUUAAGCAAUGCAUCAAAGAAGUUGAAACAAUAUGCAACUGCCCAUCAAAAGAGCAAUUUUGAAGGUGUCCAAAAUAAAGAAACAGAUGAAGAAAGAAGUGAUGAAGACAUUGACCUUACUUAAGAAGAUUUUUGGAUUGUUGAUAAAUGCUCUAAUAUCGAACAUUUCGAUAUUGAAUUUCUGAAAACUUAUUGCGAUUCGAUCUUCAUACUAUGUAAAAAUUUAACUAAUCAUUUGAAUUUGGAUUACUAGCUUGUUGUAUAUCUUGGAGUAUAAUUAUUAAUGAAUCAUUUGGUUUGUGAUGUGUA